UACGAAGGGGGCUAGCGUUGCUCGGAAUCACUGGGCGUAAAGGGCGCGUAGGCGGCCGAUCAAGUCAGAGGUGAAAGCCCAGGGCUCAACCCUGGAAUUGCCUUUGAUACUGUUCGGCUCGAGACCGGAAGAGGUAAGUGGAACUGCGAGUGUAGAGGUGAAAUUCGUAGAUAUUCGCAAGAACACCAGUGGCGAAGGCGGCUUACUGGUCCGGUUCUGGACGCUGAGGCGCGAAAAGCGUGGGGGAGCAAACAGGG
rnacentral:rRNA from 1 species